UCUCAUUUACCUGAUUAAUACCCCCCGCUACAGAUUACAUGUCACUGCGAGUCAUUAGUGCUUCCUCUGAGCAGGAGAAAUUAAUCUGACCGGAGACCUUCAACCAGAAAAACACACAAGGGAUCAUUGGUGAGAUGGAUGGCGUCUGUCUGUGAACAGAUGACAAUUGUUUUUCAUAAAUGGGGUUGACUUCCUGUCUUGAUGACUUGAGACCCCUUGGGGUAAACUGACCUGCCCCCCACGUGCCUCCCCCACCCCAUCUCCUCCACUUCCUCUGUCAAGUGCGCCUGGAUCCCACAGAUGUAGACGGAGAACAGAGAUGGUUUCAGGAGGAGGCGAGUGAGCUCAUGACGGCUGUUGUUUUUAAGCCGAGUAUUGAUGGACCAGCAGGUCACAGGCCCAGACCUGGAGGAGGCAGAAUAAUGUCUCCAUGGAAUUUGGCUCUGCUCGGCCUAACCUUCGUUACUCAAGUCCAAAUUAGGAGUCGGUUUGUUUAGAUAAACCUUGUUACCUCUGCGAGGGUCAUCCCCUGGGCACAAGCCCCCCCUCAGGACCAAUUUAUCAGCAUCAUAUCUGCUGCAUUCUUUCCUGCUGAGAGCAGACAGAGGAUUACGUACACGUAUACCAGAGUGAUAAAUACAAAC